AUGUUUCUCAAACAGUUUUAACCACUUGAGUCCAAAAGCAAAAAGUUUAACGAUCUGAGUCCCCAUAAGCAUUUUCUUUAACCAUUUGAGUCCAAAUUUCUAACAUUGUUAGAAUUUUUUGGUUAAGUAUUGUUAAAUGACUAAAAUACCCUUAUAGUUAUAAAAUAAAAUAAAAAAUUUCUCUGUUUCUCUUAUCUUCCCCUUAUCUCUUCAUCUUCAAUCCCCAAACCUAAUUUCAUCCCCUUUUCAUCACCCACAACUUCAAUCUCUGUUGUUGCACAUUGAAAAUCAACCAACAUGGUCAAGAAAUCGAUGAACCAAACCUCAAAACGAUAACAAAUAUCAGAUAAAAACACUUAAUUAAAAACAUAUAAAAUAAUACAAAACAGAGAUUAAACUUAUAAUGUUGAACUUGAAUCCAUCUUAAAACAUAAAAACCAUAACAAUGUUCAGCAAAACCCUAACAGACAAAGCACAGGUAAUAUCAAACCAAAAACAUAAAACUGUAUAAAAAACAUAACAUUCUUCCAUCAAUACCUCCUUCAAGCACCACCACCAAAUCCACCACGACCACCACCACCAUAACCACCAGGAAUCCCACCGGAAACCACCGGCACCACCGCACAACCACCUCCAUCAACACCGCCACACCACCACGAGCUCCGGACGAGAAAGAACAGGAACAAGCACCGACCUUCUUCUCAAGCUAACCGUCAAUUCUCACACCAAUUCCAAAUUCGAUUUCGUCCCUGAAUCCUCCAACGCAAUAGAUCCAGAUCUCGAUCGUCGAUUUCAAGCUCUCAGAUCCAAACCUAAACCUAAAAUCGAGGCGGAGACGAGCGGGAGUGAUGGGAUAGGUCUUGGUUAGACCGGGUAAGACGGGGACGUAAACUAGCUUCUCCUGAAACGCCACCAGCAACGCCAUUCCGGCCACCACUAUUCCGCCGAU
rnacentral:lncRNA from 1 species